UGGGGAAUCUUGGACAAUGGGCGCAAGCCUGAUCCAGCCAUGCCGCGUGAGUGAAGAAGGCCUUAGGGUUGUAAAACUCUUUCGCCGGGGAAGAUAAUGCCGGUACCCGGAGAAGAAGCUCCGGCUAACUUCGUGCCAGCAGCCGCGGUAAUACGAAGGGAGCUAGCGUUGUUCGGAAUUACUGGGCGUAAAGCGCACGUAGGCGGACUUGUCAGUCAGGGGUGAAAUCCCAAGGCUCAACCUUGGAACUGCCUCCGAUACAGCAAGCCUAGAGAUCGGGAGAGGUGAGUGGAAUUCCUAGUGUAGAGGUGAAAUUCGUAGAUAUUAGGAAGAACACCAGUGGCGAAGGUGGCUCACUGGCCCGAUACUGACGCUGAGGUGCGAAAGCGUGGGGAGCAAACAGGAUUAGAUACCCAAGUAGUCCCUGAGCGGGCUGGCAAGGCGCAU
rnacentral:rRNA from 1 species